rnacentral:tmRNA from 1 species
ACUGGUAUCGACUGAGUAUUGAAAAUUUAAUGUGCAAGGCUGUGUGAGUGUGGCACAGUAAAAACACUCAACUUUUUAAACGCCAACGAUAACGUUAGCUUUGAUUACGCCCUAGCGGCUUAAUUCACGGGGUUCCAGUUUUCCUUGAUACCCAAAAACUGGUGGAGGCUAUGCCGCCUGAGUUUCUUGUUUCUCUUUUAAAGAACAAGUGGCGCGUGACAGCAGGAUAGUUUGUUGGUGUCAAAUAACCAACCAACCUUGUGAAUGACGAAAAAAACAAUUUGUUUCGGACGCGGUUCGACUCCGCGA